UGUGUAGGCGGGCCUGCAAGUCAGAGGUGAAAGCCCCCGGCCUAACCGGGGAAUUGCCUUUGAGACUGCAGGUCUUGAGUCCUGGAGGGGUCACUAGAAUUCGUGGUGUAGCGGUGAAAUGCGUAGAUAUCACGAGGAAUACCAGAGGCGAAGGCGGGUGACUGGACAGGUACUGACGCUGAGGCACGAAAGCGUGGGGAGCAAACA
rnacentral:rRNA from 1 species